rnacentral:rRNA from 1 species
UAAGGAAUAUUGGUCAAUGGACGCAAGUCUGAACCAGCCAUGCCGCGUGAAGGAUGAAGGUCCUCUGGAUUGUAAACUUCUUUUAUCUGGGACGAAAACGGGAUUUUUAUCUCAAUUGACGGUACCAGAGGAAUAAGCACCGGCUAACUCCGUGCCAGCAGCCGCGGUAAUACGGAGGGUGCGAGCGUUAUCCGGAUUUGCUGGGUUUAAAGGGUGCGUAGGUGGGCUUAUAAGUCAGUGGUGAAAUCUCCGAGCUUAACUUGGAAACUGCCGUUGAUACUAUAGGUCUUGAAUUAUCUGGAGGUAAGCGGAAUAUGUCAUGAAGCGGUGAAAUGCUUAGAUAUGACAUAGAACACCAAUUGCGAAGGCAGCUGACUACAUAUAAAUUGACGCUGAGGCACGAAAGCGUGGGGAUCAAACA